GCGUUGACACGGAGAGUUCAAAUCGGUUUCGAAAAGGUCGAAAAUAAUGAGUGAAAAAGAAUGUUGAUAUGGGGAGUUUGACUUGAGUAAAAAGAUCGGAAAUAAUACGAAGGGGUCUUGGCAUAAGGAAUUCGGAUCCGAUUAGAGAUCAGAAAUGAUGAGUACGAGGGUUUUGAUGAGUAAGGAUGAACAUGGAGAGUCCUGAUGAUUAGUAAGAGAUCGGAAAUAAAGAGAGUCGAGCAGAAGUCCAGAUAAUAGGAAAGAGAUCAGAGAAUAACACGCACAAUCGACCAUUUAUGCAGAAACUAGAAAGUGGAACCGUCCUAUUCUUUACAUUAUUUUAUAGAUAUGCCUGUCUUUUAUCAGCCUAUAGUAUUCGAACUAACGAGAGUUCGAGAGGGAGUUCUCUCCUAGACCUCAUUUUUAUAAGAAUUAACAUCUGUUAACGCUCUCUAAAAAUUUCCCAAAAGAGGGAGAGUCCUUCCUUUAAAAUUUCCUAAACGAUUUUUAAGAACUUUACAAUUCACUAUUAUAGGCUCACAGAAGAGUCCUUACGUGAACCUCAUGCUUUGUUAAUUUUUGUUUGAGUCCAAUGGAGAGUCCUUCUUGGUACUCUUGCAAAUGUGAUCUAUCUAAAUAUGAGGGAGAGUUCUCCCAUAAAGAACAUCCAAAAUUAACCAACUAUUUUAU
rnacentral:misc_RNA from 1 species